AUUGAACGCUGGCGGCAGGCCUAACACAUGCAAGUCGAACGGUAGCACAGAGAGCUUGCUCUCGGGUGACGAGUGGCGGACGGGUGAGUAACGUCUGGGAAACUGCCCGAUGGAGGGGGAUAACUACUGGAAACGGUAGCUAAUACCGCAUAACGUCGCAAGACCAAAGUGGGGGACCUUCGGGCCUCACACCAUCGGAUGUGCCCAGAUGGGAUUAGCCAGUAGGUGGGGUAAUGGCUCACCUAGGCGACGAUCCCUAGCUGGUCUGAGAGGAUGACCAGCCACACUGGAACUGAGACACGGUCCAGACUCCUACGGGAGGCAGCAGUGGGGAAUAUUGCACAAUGGGCGCAAGCCUGAUGCAGCCAUGCCGCGUGUAUGAAGAAGGCCUUCGGGUUGUAAAGUACUUUCAGCGGGGAGGAAGGCGGUGAAGUUAAUAACUUCACCGAUUGACGUUACCCGCAGAAGAAGCACCGGCUAACUCCGUGCCAGCCGCUGCGGUAA
rnacentral:rRNA from 1 species